AGAGCAGCCACUGGAGUCGGAGAAGGAGCUGGGAGCAGAGGGAGCUCCAGUCGGAGCCAACGCUGGAGCCAGGACUCCAGGGACCAGAACUUUUCUUGGGGCGAGCGUGGGCCCUGGGCCAGCCUCCCCUGGUCCCCGCCUACCUUUCAGCCUCAGGUCCCGACCCUCCCUCCUGGAGGCCACCGGUGUUACCCUCCCCAGCAGGGGAGAACAAACUUUCUUAGGGAAACCACCUCUGCUGCCUUGCUGGCCAGACAGAACCAACAGACAGCUGGACAGACAGAUGAACAGAUGGACAGGGCAUCUGCGAGGCUCUCCUCCCAGUCCUGCCUCUGACGGGCUGCAGCAGAGUGGGCAGCCGAGGGCCCUCCAGGGGCACCAGGGACAGCGAGGGCCCCUGCUGAACCUUUGUUCACCUGCCAGCCACCUCUGAGUCCAGGCGGCUGGACGCUGCUUCCCCAGGCCCACCCAGCACUGUGGCUGGAAGGCCGGUGGCUCAAGACAGCAGUUCCCACCAGCCAGAGCCACAGGCUCUUCCACCCACCGAGGCGACGGGGAACCUGAGUGAAAAGGCACAGGUGGCAGGUGGGCAGGUGCGGGGUCCUGAAGCCAACAGGCUACUGACCCUGGAGCACACUGGCUCGGGGACCCCUGCCCAGGCGAGGGACGAUGCUGCCGAGGCCACCACCAGCCACCCUUGCCCCGUCCUGGAGCUGCCUCCGGCCUGGCCCCUGGGCUGUGGAGUGGAGGAUGUGCCAGCCUUCUGCUUCGUCUGUUUCCACAGGGAGGAGGAGGAGGAGCUGCUGGAAGAGGUCCCACUGCAGAGGUCAGUGCCCGAGAUGGGCAGUGGGUGGGCCGGAUCUCCCACCUGGGUGUCCCCACAGCCUCCUCCAUCGCUCUCCCAUCCUGCCCCUACAGUGACCCUCCUGUCCUUUCCCCCUGGUGGUCCUGCCCCCUUCACCCCCCAACCACCCACUCAGAGCCCUCCAUGGCUCCCCGCUCCCCCACAAUGAAGUCAACACUCUGCUGGGCAUUCAAAGCCUGUGAGAUCAGGCCAGCCCCACCCACCUCAUCUGGCUCUGCUCUCCUGUAUUCAUCCCCUAGCGAAACUCUGCCCAGACUUCCCUUCCCUGGUGCCUCUCCAUCCAGGCCCAGCUGCAAUACUUCCUCCUCCAGGAAGCCCUCCAAGAAGCCCUCCAAGAAGCCCCUGCCCCAUCCCAAGCUGAGAGUGACCUCCCUUCCCUCCCCUCAUUGCACUCACACCUAAGAGUGUUCGGCUUUUGUGAAACUAAGUGGAAAUGUCUGCAUCCGUAUAUGCCGUGUGUAAGAAUGCGUGCGUAUGAAAGAAAGGGAGGGGAGGGGAAUGGAGCUUGUGUGGCUACGCAAUUGGGUAUUUGGGGGUGAGUGUGUGUGUACAUGCUUAUGGCAGUGGGUAUGAUGUCUAUAUACCUGUAGGGGUGAGGGGUCGUGCACUGAACUGGGUGGGGGUUCAUGCCCUAGGAAUCUCGUCUCUUGCCAGCUCUCCCCGCCCCCACCUUCAGGGAAACCCAGGCUCCAGCCAAGUGCAUUUCCCAAGCUGUGACCACAGGCUCCGGGAAUAGAUGGAACAUUUGCAGGGGAGACAGGGGUCACCUCUGCUCCAGCCCAGCCUGCCCACGCCUUCAUCACCGCCUGAGUCAGCAUUGCCCUGGGCAGGGAGAAGGGCAGGCUCAGGACCAGCGCAGGUGUGCCCUCCAGGCUCCUUGUAGGAGGGUGGCGGGAGGGGUCCUGCAGCCUGGGACAGGUUCCUCCCUGAAUCUCACUGUUGGACCUGAGUCAGUCAUUUUUCCUCUUCAGUCAUGAGCCUCUAUCUCCUCCUCUCUGAGCCCUCCCAGUGCCAGGGCGCCCCCAGCCCUCACGGGGUCCAGCCUGCUAGGAGAGACCUGCAAGGGAAGGGAUCCGUUUGGCAGGAGUGAUGGGUGCCCUGAUGGGCCUGGGUGCACUGUGCUGGGGGAGGAAGGGGGAGCGACGACGGUCUCUGCCCGCAGGAGCCCUGGGAGCCCCUGUUGUAAAGUUCCAGUCCUCUUCUGGGUGAUGAGUGAGGUUCAUUCCAGGCCCCGGGGGACGGCAAGAGCAAAGGUUUGAUGGUAUGAAAAAGAAAUGGUGCGGGGAGUUCCCGUUGUGGCUCAGUGGGUUAAGAACCUGACCGGUAUCCAUAAAGACGCAGUUUCGAUCCCUGGCCUCGCUCAGUGGGCUCAGGAUCCGGCGUUGCUGCGAGCUUCGGUGUAGGUCACAGACGCAGCUCGGACCUGGCAUGGCUGUGGCUGUGGUGUAGGCUGGCAACUGUGCUCCAAUGUGAUCCCUAGCCUGGGAACUUCCAUAUGCCAUGGGUGCAGCCCUAAAAAGAAAAAAGAAAAAGAAAUUGUGUGGACGUGGUGGAGGUGGUGCUGGCAGGGUCUGUGGGGGCAACAUCACCAGGGGCCUUGACUGCUGAGCCAAGGAGUUGACCUAUAGGUGAUGGAGUGAGAAGUGGGGAGGGCUCGAAGCAAAACCAGGCCAAGUUAGGCGACUCAAUGGGAUCACAGGUGUGGUAGUGCUUCUGGAAGUCCAAUGCAACGGACCCCUGAGAGUAUCACUAUGUUCAUAUGUUCAUAGUAGGAGCUCAGAAUGCUUGUUGAAUGAAUGGAUGAAUAUGAUGUGGGGAGUUCCCGUUGCGGCUCAGUGGUUAAUGAACCCGACUAGUAUCCACGAGGAUGUGGAUUUGAUCCCUGGCCUCACUCAGUGGGUUAAGGAUCCAGGGUUGCCGUGAGCUGUGAUAUAGGCGCAGAUGCAGCUCGGAUCUGGCAUUGCUGUGGCUGUGGUGUAGGCCGGUGGUUACAGCUCUGAUUCAGUCCCUAGCCUGGAAGCCUCCAUGUGCUGUGG
rnacentral:lncRNA from 9 species